rnacentral:rRNA from 1 species
GAUGAACGCUGGCGGCGUGCCUAAUACAUGCAAGUCGAGCGAACAGACGAGGAGCUUGCUCCUCUGACGUUAGCGGCGGACGGGUGAGUAACACGUGGAUAACCUACCUAUAAGACUGGGAUAACUUCGGGAAACCGGAGCUAAUACCGGAUAAUAUAUUGAACCGCAUGGUUCAAUAGUGAAAGACGGUUUUGCUGUCACUUAUAGAUGGAUCCGCGCCGCAUUAGCUAGUUGGUAAGGUAACGGCUUACCAAGGCAACGAUGCGUAGCCGACCUGAGAGGGUGAUCGGCCACACUGGAACGGAGACACGGUCCAGACUCCUACGGGAGGCAGCAGUAGGGAAUCUUCCGCAAUGGGCGAAAGCCUGACGGAGCAACGCCGCGUGAGUGAUGAAGGUCUUCGGAUCGUAAAACUCUGUUAUUAGGGAAGAACAUAUGUGUAAGUAACUAUGCACGUCUUGACGGUACCUAAUCAGAAAGCCACGGCUAACUACGUG